rnacentral:lncRNA from 1 species
GGAAGCUGUAAUCUUCCAGGUUAGGGUGGAUGGCACAGGGGAUGGAGAAGAGUGAAUUUGAGGUGAAUUUUGGAGGGUGUUAAAGGCUUACAGGUGGACUGAAUAAGGUGGGAGUGAAGGAAGGGGUGGCUCAAGGCUGACUAUUAUCUGUGGCUUGAGUCACUGGGCAGUGGGGCAGAGCCAUUUAACAGAGAACGCUGCAGGAGAAGAGGGGUUUGGGGGAUGCUGAAUACACAGAUGUAUCUUGGAUGUAUGGACAUAAACGCAUCCUCUCUCGUCUAUAUGGGUGUCUGGUUGAUCCUCGGGACCCACAGUCUCAUCAUGUCUCGCACACAGGACGGCAGAGGGUACAGGUGGUGGCUUGGUCGGUUGGCGAUCUCCCGACAGCUGGAUCUCCGGCAAUGUGAAGCUUUUGGGUUUUCCUCCUCCUUUUAGUUUCACUUAAUUUUUUUAAUUUUCUUUUCUUUUUUGUCUUUUUCUUUUCUUUUCUUUUUUUAAUUUAAACGAUUAAGACUUCAGAAGAGCAGGAAGCUAUGCUGUGGACAGGCACCAAUUUCUUUAAAGAAAUUCAACAUGGACAAAGCAUACGUAUAAGUUUCCUUUCUAAUUUUUAUAAGGGGUUUGGGAGCUAUUUUGUUUUUGUCCUUUAUAUUUCCCUGUUGUCUUUCUUGUACCCAUCUCUCAGCUCUGCGUAUCACACCUCACUUCCCCAGAGAAGGCCUGCCUCUCCGGGGAGAAUUUUGGGAUUUCUCCUGGGAUGGGGGCAUUAAGACAGAAGGAGGCAUUGGGCCACCUCCCCACCAGAUGCAGGAACGGCCGGACUCUGGCGGCUGCUCCUGUCUAGCCCUGGGGCCUUGGAAAUGAUCAGAGGCAAAGAACACCUGGAAGAAGAAGGCCAGGGUUUGGCCAGGAGAACUUGAGAAAGAAGGUCUAACCUGUGCGCUUGUUCUCUUUACGUCGUCGGAAGCCCCGGGCCACACCAGGCCUUAUAGUGGGGGGACUCCAUUCCCUCUUCUGCCCUUUCUGACCGGGAGCUCUGAGGAGGGACAGAAGGUGACCAUCUCCCACUUCCUGGCAGUUGAGCGGCCAGCGCCCCAGUUCUGCAAGCCCACCUUUCCAGAGGAAGUUCCCCAGGAAAAAACUGUCGUGCCAAACCUCUGCCCGGGACACAGCGGGGUCUUCCUCGGGCAUUUGUCACUCCUGUGAGGUCAGCACCCACCACCUACUGCCUCCUGGAUUGUCUUCCUCCUAGAUGUGUUCACCAAAUGUCCAGGUUAUCACAGAGACUGCCGAUGUCCCUGAGAUCCAGUUGUGACCAUUGCCAUAAGAACAGGGUGUCCUGAACUGGCCGCCACUGUCAUCUCCUGGCAGUGAAGGGUGUGCCCUGUAUGCUGGGCGCCAUGGUGUCACAUAUGGUGACAGUGUCAGGCACCAUCUCCCUCACUCCCAGGGACUUACUGUUAGGUGUCUACCCUCCAUGUAAAUGUGUCUGGUGGGAAAAGAGUGGACCUGCAGAGAGGUGACCAGGUGGACACCCCGCAGCCGCUAGGUGUCCAUCUGGGGCCUGGCCACUUUAAAGCUUCCCGACGUGACUCCUUCGACCUCACCGCCAGUGUGGAUCUAAGCACCUCUGUGUAACCGUGCUGACACUCCUUACUGAUGCUCUUGCAGCCGCCGCCCUCGCAGGCUUCUGAACCUGUCUGUUCUGUCCCCUUGCAAGGAGGGUGGGAGGCGCUAUUCCUGUGUUGUCCCUCUCACCAGGAAACAACUUUGGCUUCUCCAAAGGCUUUUCACCCGAUUAUGGCCGAGCAGGAAAGGGGCUUUGGGGAAGGAGAAAGGAAUUCCUCUUUUGUGUUUAAUUUUGUUUUUUGUUUUCUCUAAGCCAGCAUAGGUUCAAUAGGGGAGAUAGUUGGAGGGCAGUUAAGUUGAUGUGUGACCAAGGGGGGCUUCCCCCUAAAAGCAGCAGUCCUUUGGCGCUGGCAGUUUGGGAGAGACCAGCACGGCAUCAGACCAGACUCGGCAAUAUGUUCACUCACGUUGUUUUCCCAACCCCUCAAAUACUAAGGCUACUCUUCCUCCUGGGCAGACGAUUGGCUGUGGUUGGCAGAUCCGGCAGGGCUGCAGGUGGUACCCAGGCCCCUCCCUUCCUUGGCUGAAAUCCUUGGUGAUCGCCUGUCUCUCGGCUCUUCUCUGACUUCCCAGGCGACCUCCUGAGUGUAGCCUGAGCCGCAGCUGGAGGCUUGGUUGAGCGGCAUCCCCUCAUUGCAGUGUGCCCUCCUUCUCGGCCCCACCACCCUGCUUCCCUGGGGGCGGCUGUCUCUGUACAGGAGCAGAUGGGAAAAACAGUCCCCGGACUCGGCACCCCCAGCUCUCCCUGGCUCCAGCCCAUGCUCUAAAGUCCCUAGUGAGGGCUCAAGCCUGACAAGUCAUUCACCUUUUGCUUAAUCUUUUUUCUGCCCUCCCUGGUCUCAGCUCUGUCUAAACAAGGUCUUGGAGCUGUAGUGCUCCCCUUUAUUUUUCUUGGCACCAGAGUACCCCCUGUGGGUCACAGGAUGCCCAUACCUUUCGGGUGAACAGGCAACCAGCUUCCAUGCACCCUUAUCUGCAGGACUCCCAGCCAUCCUUGCUUGUUGAUGGGACCUCCUUCCCUAGGUCAUGAGGGCCAGCUCGUUAGCCCCCAAGUGCCUCCCUGUCCCUCUGCUGCUCUCUCCACUCAGUCCGCCUCAGGCACCCGGCCUGUUAGGUGGGAGUCAGCCUGGAGUGAGCGCUGCCUCUGCCCAGUCAGUGGCCCAGCCUUGGGGUCUGGCUCGGGGAGCUCCUGUCACCUUUCUUAGCCAUUUUCCACCUCUUCCCACCGUGGGUCCGCUUCCUCGCCUCUUCCUGCCGUUUCACCCUCUCCACCUGGGUCUUGGGCCUGGCAACAACCCUGUGGUGCGUCAUCUGAGUGCCACCAAGUUUGUUAGGCCUGUCCAAGUUCUAGGAGUUUCCAAACCUUAAAAUAGCAGUCAGUUAUUCUCUUCUCUCUGGAUCUGUGAAAAGGAUAGCCUCUUGGAGGGAGGUUCCGGGCCUCAGCCCCAUGGGUCUGAGCUCGGUUUCCCUUCAGGGAGAAGAAUCAGCAAGACAGAUCUUAGUGCCUUACUCCAUUGCCCUCCCCUCACCAGGCCACCUGGCUCAGUAGGAAGUACGCAUCUUUCUCCCUGUCUGGGUCCAUCUGUCACUUAAACUCUGUUCCCACUCACAGAUAGUCUAUGGGCAGGAUUACUCCCCCACAUGACCUCCCGACCCCUUCCUGCGGGCUGUGUCCAGGCACAUGUCUCCCCGCCCACCACCAGGGCACUCACUAGCAGCUUUAGCCGAGGACAGGAGAACUGUGCUUCAGACAGGUGCGCGUCUCUGCGUCUCACUACCCAGCAGGUCCCCUGCUUCUUACCUCUAGCCAGGAGGAUGCCACAGUCUGUUCACUCAAGAUGCUCCAUCUGACCCCCUUCUGGGCACUGGGGACUAAGGUCUCAGGCCUUAGUCUCAUCUCAUCCCAGAGGCAUUGGGACAGGAGAAUAGGAACUCUUUCCUCCCACCCGGACAUGGUUUGCCCACCUUGGCUGCCUUUCUGAGGGAGUGUAUUCAAUGUUUACUUAAGAAGUACCCUGUUUACAGCUGGAGGAGAAGUGUGCCCAACAGUGGGUGGAGCUCUGACUCUCUGGACAUGUAUGGCCUCAUGUAUGGCACGGCCAGUGGUGGUCCCAGAGCGAAUGAAGGCAGAGACGCCAGGGGCAGGGGUGCGCGCCCUGGACUUUCCCUGCCCCCUGGCCCUGCGGUGCUAAGACCACUCACCACCUUUCUCACAGCCCUCGUCCCCCUGGACGUUCCCACCUCUGUCAUUCCCUUCCUCCAAGGUUCUCAGCUCCUGAACAUAUCACUUGUCUCCUAGAAAGCCAGCGUUUGGAGCAAUAAGAUGAUUAUUUUUGCUUGAGUCUUUUUCUAAGAAAAGGAAAAGAGCUGGCAUUAUGGGAAUCUUCUUUCUUUUUAUGCUGUUGGCUGUUUACCUUCUUAGAAGACAGAUCUUAAUAGGAUGGAUGCCUGGGUUUCAGCCUUGGGGUAUCUUUUGGAAGCUUGGGAAAGCAAGAGUUGGGCUUUCACCCCCUAAGGAGGGGACCCUCUCUGCCCUCUCCUUGCUCCAUGCCAAGGCUGCCUGAGCUCCCAGCCCUGCCUGCCAGGUACACCUCCCACCUUUGAUCCUGCUCAUGCGCCCCACACACAGACAUCUGGGGGCACCGGUGGCUCUGAUUCUAAGUGGGGCUCUUGGGUUAUUGCUCCCCAAUGACUCUUUUCCCCUUCCUGGGCCUUAUGGCAGCCCCCAGGCAGAGAUGGCUACCAGAGUCUCCUAGGAACUGGCAACUUGACAACAGCCAAGCUUGCACUCAGCUCUUCAGGCCACCAGGCCCAGAGGGAGUGCCAUGGCCAUUCUCGCACACCAGGCUGAGGCACAGCGUUCGGGACAACACAAGCCCAUCUCUGAUCCUGCCUGCCUAGGUCUAGGGGCAGGGUCUCCUGUCUGGAGAGGCCCUCGGGGACACCAGGAGGUGUGCCAGGAAGGUGGGCUGAUGUGAGCGUCUGCAGCCCUCACCAAGAGACGAAUCCACUGCCGCAAGUUCCCCGGAGCUCCCCUAGGAUUGCAGGGGUUGACAGAAAGGAGACCCCAGCUUCUUAUUGCAUGAGAGGCCACAGGACGAAAGGGGUUUAUUUAGGGACACUUUAAAGAAAUCUUUUGUGCCCCAGGGGCCUCUCUCCAUCAGAGCAGGAGAGUAUGUUGCAACGAUUUAACAUUCGUGUGGGGCCAACUUGGGUGUGAGGGAGGUUUUAACCGAGGCACAAAGUUAGUUUCAAAUACUAGUUAAUAAAUCUAUUUUUCUUUAUUUUCUUUUUUUGCACAGAAGCUGGUAAUCUAGGACCUACGUGUGAACAACUUUAUAUGAAUAUUUUUUGUACUUGGUUUACUUGGGUUGGUAUGAUACAUUAUAUUUAAGUUCCUUGAACACUGUGGAUCCCCCUAAUGUGUAUGGAUGACUGAGGCUUUGUAAAUUAAGGGACGUUUGUGUGAAUAAAGUUAUUUUAUGGGGUCAAAGAAGCCAUAUGUGAUUUGAAAACGAGUGCAUUGUGAUUUUGUUGCCACCAUUGAGAGGUAGAAGCCAGCCUGGCCAUAGCUCCGGUCCCAGUGGGUGAGCACAGGAGAGAAGAGGACAGGACACUCAGCUGGAGGAGAAAACUGCCUGGGGGCUUCGACUGAACCUCCCAGGCCGCACCUGGGAGCAGGCACU